AGUAAAGAAAACCAGACUCUCAUAAAUUCUCAUAUAUUUUAAGCUGACUUUAUUUGAAUUUUUUUUUUAAAUUUGAAAGGACAGUGCAAGCUCUUCCCAAAUAUAAUACAACUAAGAGUCAUACAUUUAUUGUAUCCACAUGCUCUAUAACCAUAUUAAAGUGGUGGUAUUUCUGCUCCUAUGCCAACACUUUAGCAGUAGCCAAUUCUGCAACCCACAAGCUUGUCUAUUAGUAGCCCAUUCAACCUGUUCCCCCAUUAUAGUCAGUAAUAGCCAAUACUCACUCUCCCUUUCCAAUAGCCAGUAGUAGGUCAUUCUAUCAAUCUCUCUACAUAGACAGUAGUAAUCUAUUUUUCACACUGUUGUCCCCAUAACCAGUAGUUAUUUAUUUUUAUACCCAGUCUCUAUAAUCAGUGGUAAUCUAUUUUCACACUCCUUUCCCUUUAGCCAGUGGUAGAUCAGUCUCCGUCACCCUCCAUUCUCAAGAAUCUCAAGUUGAUUUAUUUGAAGAAAAAGCUUAGAUUUGAAUUUGAAAGAACUCCUUUGACACCGAAGAAACCUGGUCAUUUCAGACAAGGAAUGGAUAGCGUGAACUCUUCUCAAAUUCAUCUGAUCUACAAAUAGGAAAGAAAAAGAAGUUGUAUCAACAUACUCUAUAAU